GAUGGGGCAAUUAAACACCUAAAUUCACUGAUGAAACUACUUCGCGUGGAACUUUUAUAUAUUGGGCCGGCCUCUAAUGGAACCGGUGAAGGGAGAGGUGUGAUCUCACGGAAGGAGAAAAUGAUUGUGGCAAAGUGAGCAUGACGACAAACACCGUUGGGGACGUACGCCCUACGGAAUCAAAUGGAUAUUUCACUUGGCCAUCGACGAUUUCCAAGGCUUUAAAACAGAUCCGGCUCCAACGGUCAACUCCAACUUCAUCUACCGGCCAUAAUUUGAUGAAACUGAGUAGUGAAAACGCUAGUGAAAAUGCAUUAGACUAUGUCCGUCUGGAGUGGGAUGGCAUUAACAUCCAGCCACACGUUAUUAGAGAGAAAUGAAAGUUUUU